UAAAGAUCGAGGGGCAGCGGGAAAAAGCUUGCUUUUUUGCCGGCGACCGGCGCACGGGUGCGGAACGCGUAUGGAACCUGCCCCUGUCAGGGGAAUAGCCCAGGGAAACUUGGAUUAAUGCCCCAUGGUACCGUUACAUCGCAUGAUGUUUCGGUUAAAGAUUUAUCGGACAGGGAUGGCCAUGCGUACCAUUAGUUAGUUGGCGGGGUAACGGCCCACCAAGGCAGCGAUGGUUAGGGGCCCUGAGAGGGGGAUCCCCCACACUGGUACUGAGACACGGACCAGACUCCUACGGGAGGCAGCAGUGAGGAAUAUUGGACAAUGGGCGGGAGCCUGAUCCAGCCAUGCCGCGUGCAGGAUGACUGCCCUAUGGGUUGUAAACUGCUUUUAUACGGGAAGAAACGCACCUACGUGUAGGUGUCUGACGGUACCGUAAGAAUAAGGACCGGCUAACUCCGUGCCAGCAGCCGCGGUAAUACGGAGGGUCCGAGCGUUAUCCGGAAUCAUUGGGUUUAAAGGGUCCGUAGGCGGGCCUGUAAGUCAGGGGUGAAAGUUUGUGGCUCAACCAUAAAAUUGCCUUUGAUACUGCAGGUCUUGAGUCAUGGUGGGGUUGCCGGAACAUGUGGUGUAGCGGUGAAAUGCAUAGAUAUCACAUAGAACACCGAUCGCGAAGGCAGGUGACCAACCAUGUACUGACGCUGAUGGACGAAAGCGUGGGUAGCGAACGGGAUUAGAUACCCCGGUAGUCCACGCCGUAAACGAUGGAUACUAGCUGUGGGGACUUCGGUCUCCGUGGCCAAGCGAAAGUGAUAAGUAUCCCACCUGGGGAGUACGUUCGCAAGAAUGAAACUCAAAGGAAUUGACGGGGGGCCCGCACAAGCGGUGGAAGCAUGUGGUUUUAAUUCGAUGAUACGCGAGGAACUUUACCAGGGGC
rnacentral:rRNA from 1 species